AUUGAACGCUGGCGGCAUGCCUUACACAUGCAAGUCGAACGGUAACAGGUCUUCGGAUGCUGACGAGUGGCGAACGGGUGAGUAAUACAUCGGAACGUGCCUAGUAGUGGGGGAUAACUACUCGAAAGAGUGGCUAAUACCGCAUGAGAUCUACGGAUGAAAGCAGGGGAUCGCAAGACCUUGUGCUACUAGAGCGGCCGAUGGCAGAUUGGGGAGUUGGUGGGAUAAAAGCUUACCAAGCCGACGAUCUGUAGCUGGUCUGAGAGGACGAUCAGCCACACUGGGACUGAGACACGGCCAAGACUCCUACGGGAGGCAGCAGUGGGGAAUUUUGGACAAUGGGCGCAAGCCUGAUCCAGCAAUGCCGCGUGCAGGAUGAAGGCCUUCGGGUUGUAAACUGCUUUUGUACGGAACGAAAAGCCCUGGGUUAAUACCCUGGGGUCAUGACGGUACCGUAAGAAUAAGCACCGGCUAACUACGUGCCAGCAGCCGCCGUAAAAC
rnacentral:rRNA from 1 species